CAUGCGCCCGCCGCCCGAU
rnacentral:siRNA from 1 species